ACAGAGACUGCAAGCGUUAUUCGGAUUCACUGGGCGUAAAGGGUGCGCAGGCGGUUGCGUGUGUUAGGUGUGAAAGCCCGAGGCUUAACUUCGGAAUUGCGCCUAAAACUACGUGACUAGAGCAUUGGAGAGGGUAGCGGAAUUCAUGGUGUAGCAGUGAAAUGCGUAGAUAUCAUGAGGAACACCAGAGGCGAAGGCGGCUACCUGGACAAUUGCUGACGCUCAGGCACGAAAGCGUGGGGAGCAAAAGG
rnacentral:rRNA from 1 species